rnacentral:rRNA from 1 species
CACGGAGGGAGCUAGCGUUAUUCGGAAUUACUGGGCGUAAAGCGCACGUAGGCGGCUUUGUAAGUUAGAGGUGAAAGCCUGGAGCUCAACUCCAGAAUUGCCUUUAAGACUGCAUAGCUUGAAUCCAGGAGAGGUGAGUGGAAUUCCGAGUGUAGAGGUGAAAUUCGUAGAUAUUCGGAAGAACACCAGUGGCGAAGGCGGCUCACUGGACUGGUAUUGACGCUGAGGUGCGAAAGCGUGGGGAGCAAACAGG